UACGGAGGGUGCAAGCGUUAUCCGGAUUCACUGGGCUUAAGGGGUGCGUAGGCGGUUUGGUAAGUCCGUGGUGAAAUCCCCGAGCUUAACUUGGGAACUGCCGUGGAUACUAUCAGUCUUGAAUAUCGUGGAGGUAAGCGGAAUAUGUCAUGUAGCGGUGAAAUGCUUAGAUAUGACAUAGAACACCAAUUGCGUAGGCAGCUUACUACACGAUCAUUGACGCUGAGGCACGAAAGCGUGGGGAGCAAACAGG
rnacentral:rRNA from 1 species